GACGAACGCUGGCGGCGUGCUUAACACAUGCAAGUCGAACGGAAAGGCCCUGCUUUUGUGGCUUUCACGAUUGGCGCACGGGGGAGUGACACGCGAGUAUCCUGCCCUUGACUUUGGGAUAAAUUCAGGAGACCGGGGCUCAUACCGGGUAUGAGCUCCUGCUCCAUAGUGGGCGUUGGAAAGUUUCGGCUGUUGGGGAUGGACUGGCGGGUUAUCAGCUUGUUGGGGUGGUAGUGGCUUCCCAAGGCUAUGACGGGUAGCCGGCAUGAGAGGUGUAACGGGGACAAGGGGCCUGAGAGACGGACCAGAAUGCUACGGGAGGCAGCAGUGGGGAACUUUGCAGAAUGGGCGGAAGCCUGAGGCAGAAAUCCUGCGUGCGGGAUGACGGCUUUCGGGGUGUAAACCGCUGUCGCCGUAGACGAAGCCGGAUUGACGGUACCGGGUAAAGAAGCCCCGGCUAACUACGUG
rnacentral:rRNA from 1 species